rnacentral:rRNA from 1 species
UGCAUUGGAACGUACCGAGUAGUGGGGGAUAACUAGUCGAAAGAUUAGCUAAUACCGCAUACGCAUUGAGAUGGAAAGCGGGGGAUCUUAGGACCUCGCGCCAUUUGAGCGGCCAAUGUCUGAUAGCUAGUUGGUGGGGUAAAGGCCUACCAAGGCGACGAUCAGUAGCGGGUCUGAGAGGAUGAUCCGCCACACUGGGACUGAGACACGGCCCAGACUCCUACGGGAGGCAACAGUGGGGAAUUUUGGACAAUGGGCGAAAGCCUGAUCCAGCCAUGCCGCGUGUCUGAAGAAGGCCUUCGGGUUGUAAAGGACUUUUGUCAGGGAAGAAAAGGUGAUUGCUAAUAUCAGUCGCUGAUGACGGUACCUGAAGAAUAAGCACCGGCUAACUACGUGCCAGCAGCCGCGGUAAUACGUAGGGUGCGAGCGUUAAUCGGAAUUACUGGGCGUAAAGCGAGCGCAGACGGUUUGUUAAGCAGGAUGUGAAAUCCCCGAGCUCAACUUGGGAACGGCGUUCUGAACUGGCAAGCUAGAGUAUGUCAGAGGGGGGUAGAAUUCCACGUGUAGCAGUGAAAUGCGUAGAGAUGUGGAGGAAUACCGAUGGCGAAGGCAGCCCCCUGGGAUAAUACUGACGUUCAUGCUCGAAAGCGUGGGUAGCAAACAGGAUUAGAUACCCUGGUAGUCCACGCCCUAAACGAUGUCUAUUAGCUGUUGGGCAACUUGAUUGCUUAGUAGCGUAGCUAACGCGUGAAAUUGACCGCCUGGGGAGUACGGUCGCAAGAUUAAAACUCAAAGGGAUUGACGGGGACCCGC